CCUGGGCAACAGAGCAAGACUCUGUCUCAAAAAACAAAAAAAAAUUGAAUAUCAAUUUUAAAAAGGUGAUUUCAUGCAUGCCCCUUCCCAAGACCAAGAGCUCUCUGAGGGCAGGUGACAUGUCUUUAUGUCUCAGCCUUUGCAGCGUCCUCCUGCUAGCAUCCAGGUGAAUGAAAAAUGAAUGGAGCCUUGAACUAACCAGGAACUCAACUAAGUGGAGAGGAGGAGAGACUCCCAGAUAGCAGAGGGAAGACAAGCUGGGGUCAGAGGGCGGAUGCUUUGGCUUAGGAGUAGAGGAGUUCAGAAGUUCAGGCUUCUGAUCACAGAGGGAGGUAAAGGGAGUUCAGAGGAGUGAGUGACAUCAUGAAAUCAGUAUUUGGGGAGCUUAAUCGGGCAGCUGCAUGCAGGACAGCCUGCAGCAGGGGGUGAAGGAAAGCUGGCAGAGCGGCCAGGAGGCAAGGGCAGUGAGUCAGGCAGACAGUGAGAAGGGAAGCCACUGCCUCUCCGCCAAAUCGCCCUCUGGGAGCACCCAUCUCUGUCCCAGUGGAAGCCCCAUCAAGGGUCACUCUCAGCGACUGUCCUCCUUAGGCUGGACCUUAAGUGUCCUCUAGGCCUCCUGCCCUGCACCCAGCACUGACCUCCUGCAAGUGGUUACCUUCCUCUUGUGAAUCCCUCCAGGCUCAGGGAUUCCAGGAAUUCCCUCCCAUUCCCGUUUUAGAGGACAACGCGGAUGGUAAGCACUCCCUUUAAGGAAGCACAGUGAUGCAGCAGCGGGUGGGGAAACAGGGAGAGAGCUUUUACUUCUGAGCACAUUUUCCCAAAUUGCUAUCUUUCAGCAUUUUUAUAAGGUAAUAUGUUAAUAUGACAGUUAUGAUAAAAAGAAGGUAGAGGGAAAAAAUGUGGAAGACAGGACCAGUGCAUUCAACCCCACAGCUCAGACAUGGUUCAGAAACAGAUCCUGGUGCUGAAGAGCUGGGGACAGGAGCCUGGUGUGGGUAGCCUUGGUUCCAUGGCAGGCCCUGCCACCAACACACUGUGUGACCUUAAGCAGCUGUGCUCUUCCCAGUCACUCUCUUCCACAUGCAAAAUGAUGUCAGUGAUAGUUCCCACCCAAGAGGGUAGUUGUAAGAAUGAAAUGAAUUGAUCUGGUGCAGUGCUUAGUCCCUAGCACAAGAUAAGGGGUUAGUAACUGGUAUCUGUGAUGGGCACCAGGCUAGCGGUUACUGCCUCUAACAUCUGGAGGCGCAAAGUCUAGCACUGUGGCUGUCCCACAGGAGGUGUCAAAUGUGAGCCUUCCACCCCACCCCCCUGAAAUCCCCAGAUGAACGCACCUCCCCACAGCCCUAACACUCUCACCAGGGACACACAGAACAAGCCGAUGUCUCUUCGCUUUACAGACCGUCAGACAUGCGAAGGCAGUUGCUGUGCCUCCACAGAAUAUUCUCUCCCCCAAAAUCUUCAUGUUUUUCUCUCCUCUUAUUUCUCUCCUAUUCACCCACUACACAAACAAGAUUAGGCAGCAGUGAUAGGCAAGAAAAGAUGGAAAUAUUCUUUAAAUGGAAUUACAAAAAUAGGCUUUGGAAAUUAAUGUCUAGAAAUGUACCCCGUGGGUUCUCUGGAGACCAACCCAAAUGAAAUCCCAUUGACAGAAAGCUGCAGUCCUCUGGGGAACAUCCCCCCAUCCCAUCCCCCAGGAUCCCUGGUCCAGGAAAGAUGGAAGUUGGCUUCUGAUCUCCCUGGUCUCCCAGAGAUCCUGCUCAGGGCACCACCUGAAAAGUCCCUCGGCAGAAGCACUGCUCGCCAUGCGUGAAUGCCAUGGAAAGCAUCUGAACAUGAAGUUUCCAAUUACUGCUGGCAUUUCUGGAGUGUCCUGAUACUGGCUGCAGCUGUCCCACGGAAGGCCAAUGAUGUCAUCAGCAAGCCUGACCGCAUUGAGUUCCAAAGCUGGGCUGGGCAGAAAGGUUCCCUGCAGGCUGAGCCCCCAUCACUGGAGAGGGAGGAACCUGCUAUUUCCCCCACCAAAGGUGGGCACUACUCGGGUUUGUUGCUUCCCUUCCUGGGUAGAAUUGCAUUGCCAUAACUUGGACUCACACCGGGAAAGGUUCAGAAGCUGCACCAAUGUCCAGGAUGAUUCCAUCUGACUGCUUCUGAAAACUUACUAUAUGUCCAGAGUUGUUCCGGGUGGAGGCAAGCCCAGGUGAGACCUACUUUCCAAAUGUUCAUGUACUCACUUCGCGGCAAGAAAAAAAAAAAAA